rnacentral:rRNA from 1 species
CCUACGGGGAGCAGCAGUGGGGAAUAUUGCACAAUGGGGGAAACCCUGAUGCAGCGACGCCGCGUGAGUGAAGAAGUAAUUCGUUAUGUAAAGCUCUAUCAGCAGGGAAGAAAAUGACGGUACCUGAGUAAGAAGCCCCGGCUAACUACGUGCCAGAAGCCGCGGGAAUACGUAGGGGGCAAGCGUUAUCCGGAUGUACUGGGUGUAAAGGGAGCGUAGACGGCAGUGCAAGUCUGGAGUGAAAGGCGGGGGCUCAACCCCCGGACUGCUCUGGAAACUGUACGGCUGGAGUGCAGGAGAGGUAAGUGGAAUUCCUAGUGUAGCGGUGAAAUGCGUAGAUAUUAGGAGGAACACCAGUGGCGAAGGUGGCUUACUGGACUGUAACUGACGUUGAGGCUCGAAAGCGUGGGGAGCAAACAGGAUUAGAUACCCUUGUAGUC